AAACGAAACAAUCUGCUUUGGAUUUCAAUUUGAUCAACCAGUUCCAACCGGUCCAAAUCACUGAUGUUAUCAGACGGCGUUCUUUAAAUACUUUCGCAUCUAAGUUGAUGUAUUGCAAUACAAAUACAUGGUAUUGUUUCAGUGUACCACAGAAGGUGAAACGCGUAUCCAAAAUAAAGUCCAUCACUGUAGGUGCCCUACGUGGAGUAGAAGAUGCAAUUGAGCUGGCCUCGGCAUCCUCUCCUUUGCGGGUUUUGAUUGGCACCCCGUCACUUCAGCUCACUUGAGCAUCAGACUGUGGCCUGUGAGCUAUGGAUUCUCCCAAUCUGUUCCUGCCGAAAAACCAACACUGAAGCUUAAGAAUGGGUGCAGGGCAAGGCUGGAUGAUGGAAACGGCACCACUUCAUGGCAACACCUCUAUCUGUGUGUGUGUGU